GCCACUGUGGCUUAGCGGUAUAGCACUCGCCUUGUAAGCGAGCGGUCGAGGGUUCAAAUCCCUCCAGUGGCU
rnacentral:tRNA from 1 species